CGCCGGCGACAGUCGCGCGCCGGCCGCUGUCUCGAUAAGGUGUUUGUGUUUGCGUCGUCGCGAUGAAAAUUCGGCCGCCAUAGAGGUUAUGUUUACGCGUGCCGCGAGAAUCAAAGCGAUCACGCAUGCCCUUCUGCGUCCACCUUUUUCGAAAUCGUGCACGAGUCGUCAUCCGUCUAUCGACAAAUCCAGCGAUUUCCGUCGACCUGUUUGUCAGAUCGUAAAUCAACUUGGCGACACUUGACGUCCUCGGGAUAGUACGCUUGGUAAAUGCAGAGUGUCGUGGCAUGCCGACGUGAUUCGCGCGGUGGUGUUCGGUGGUAAAGGGCCAACAAGAGGCCGCAAAGGUGGGCUUUCGAGAUGAGCUAUGAAUUUGGGCUACUUGCUAGCCACUGUCUUUGUGCUUCGGCUGUUUCAACUGUCUUUCGACGUCGCGGCGCUACCCUCGGUCGUCAAGAUCGGUGCCAUAUUCACUCAUGACCAAAAGGAUAGCAGUACAGAGGUAGCCUUCAAGUAUGCCGUGUACAAAAUCAACAAAGACAGGAUCCUGCCGAGAACCACGCUGGAAUACGAUAUACAGUACGUGCCGAAAGAUGACUCGUUUCACGCUUCGAAAAAGGCCUGUCAACAAGUCAAAUACGGAGUUCAAGCGGUAUUCGGUCCGUCUGACCCGAUUCUGGGCCAACACAUUCACAGCAUUUGCGACGCACUGGACAUUCCACAUCUGGAGGCCAGGCUGGACCUGGACACAGAGGCGAAGGAGUUCAGCAUCAAUCUUUAUCCCGCACAAACUUUACUCAAUGCCGCUUAUCAGGACAUCAUGGAGUUCCUUAAUUGGACCAAAGUCGCCAUUAUCUACGAAGACGACUACGGAUUGGUGAAGCUACGAGAACUCGUCAGGUCGCCGAAGUCUCGGGAGAUGGAGGUUAACCUCAGGCAGGCCGACCCGGAUUCCUACAGGCAGGUUCUAUCCGAGAUGAAAAGCAAGGAAAUACGAAAUCUCGUCGUGGAUACCAAACCAGAGCACAUGCAUCAUUUUCUACGGAUGAUCUUGCAGCUGCAAAUGAACGACUACAAGUACCACUAUCUCUUCACGACUUUCGAUAUCGAGACCUUCGAUCUCGAGGACUUCAAGUACAAUUUCGUCAAUAUCACUGCCUUUCGUCUGGUCGACGCCGAGGACGUGGCUGUACGCGGAAUAUUGAGGGACAUGGAACGAUAUCAGCCAUCCGGGAAUACGAUCCUCAACAAAUCGAAAGUUAUACAGGCAGAGCCAGCCUUAAUGUACGACAGCGUGCAAGUGUUUGCGGAGGGAUUAAGAACCCUGGAACAGUCCCACGCGUUAAGACCCGCUAAUAUUUCCUGCGAACUGGAACACCCUUGGGACGGAGGCUUGUCUCUUAUUAACUACAUAAACUCGGUGGUGAUGAAAGGUAUCUCGGGACCCAUCGAGUUUAAGGAAGGUCGCAGGAUACAGUUCAAGCUGGAUCUGCUGAAACUGAAACAGCAUUCGCUCGUUAAGGUCGGCGAGUGGCGUCCUGGCGCCGGCGUCAACGUGACGGACACCGCGGCCUUCUUCGAACCAGGAUCCGCGAACGUCACGCUGCUCGUCAUCACGAUACUGGAAAUUCCAUACGUGAUGAUGCACUAUGAAAAAAACUACACGGGGAACGCGCGGUUUUACGGUUUUUGCGUGGACCUUCUGGAGGCGGUGGCAAGGGAGGUCGGAUUCACUUACCGAUUGGAGCUGGUGCCGGACAGGAAGUACGGUGCAAAAGACCCGGAAACCGGGGAGUGGAAUGGCAUCGUUCGAGAACUCAUGCGACAUAAAGCAGACUUGGCGGUCGGCUCGAUGACUAUUAAUUACGCUCGCGAAAGCGUGAUCGACUUUACUAAGCCGUUCAUGAAUCUUGGUAUUUCCAUCCUUUUCAAGGUACCGACUAGCCAUCCAGCUCGCCUAUUCUCUUUCAUGAACCCGCUAGCCAUCGAGAUUUGGCUGUACGUUCUGGCGGCGUAUGUUCUCGUCUCGGUGACGAUGUUCGUGGUCGCGAGGUUCAGCCCGUACGAGUGGAACAACCCUCAUCCUUGCCACGCGGACUCGGAAGUUGUCGAGAAUCAGUUCUCGUUGGCAAACAGCUUCUGGUUCACGAUCGGAACACUGAUGCAACAAGGCAGCGAUCUGAAUCCCAAGGCAACGAGUACUCGAAUCGUGGGCGGUAUUUGGUGGUUCUUCACCCUGAUAAUCAUCUCGUCGUAUACCGCAAACUUGGCUGCCUUCCUGACCGUGGAACGAAUGAUAACGCCGAUCGAGAACGCGGAAGAUCUUGCCGGCCAAACGGACAUCGCAUACGGGACCCUGGAUAGCGGAAGCACCAUGACCUUUUUCAGGGAUUCCAUGAUCGAGACAUACAAGAAAAUGUGGCGAUUCAUGGAGAAUAAAAAACCAUCGGUGUUCGUGCCCACCUACGAGGAAGGAAUUCAAAGGGUUCUUCAAGGCGACUACGCUUUCCUCAUGGAAUCCACCAUGCUGGAUUAUAUCGUGCAAAGGGAUUGCAAUCUCACUCAGAUCGGUGGACUUUUGGACAGCAAGGGAUACGGAAUCGCCACGCCAAUGGGUACGCGGCGAUAUUCUCUUUAUCGAAUAAUUUCGUUUUCCGUUGCUUCGCGAUUAACGCGUUAUAUUGUAUUCGUAGGUUCUCCUUGGCGCGACAAGAUAUCUCUGGCAAUUUUGGAGCUGCAGGAAAAGGGCGAGAUUCAAAUGCUGUAUGAUAAAUGGUGGAAGAGUCCUGGUGACACCUGCAUGAGAACCGAGAAAGGGAAAGAAAGCAAGGCGAAUUCUUUGGGAGUGGAUAACAUAGGUGGAGUGUUCGUCGUGCUGUUGUGCGGUUUAGCUUUCGCCGUGCUGAUCGCGAUAUUCGAGUUUUGCUACAAUUCGAGGAGAAAUACGCCGGCGGAACGGGUGAGUAGAUGGUACAGGGUACGCGCGACGUUGAAAAGCUCCGAAAUUCGUCGGAAAACGCGACGGAGAAUCGGCGAAUACCGUGUCCUCGAUCGCGCGAUCUUGUCCGCUCGGUCACCCUGCCGAUCCUCGCUUAUUCCCAUACGAUUUCCGUACGAUUUAACCGACUGACCGUCGUCAAAGAAACGAGCUUUUUUUCCAGGCAAUCGAACACAGCCACGCAUGACCUUUUUAAACAGGGUUGCAUGAAUUUUUCUCACUUUUUUGUGUUCCAUUUCGACCGACCGUCGUGGUAUUUUUGCGACGCAGCAUGAGCUCAUCCUCCACUGAAGCAUGCCGGCCGACUACGAACGCACCAAGCUCGCUCGUCAACCAAGAGAGCUCCCGCAUCGACGCCGGUCUGCUCG
rnacentral:misc_RNA from 1 species